rnacentral:rRNA from 1 species
GACGAACGCUGGCGGCGUGCCUAAUACAUGCAAGUCGAACGCAGUGGGGACGGGUGAGUAAAACGUGGGUAACCUCCCAUCAGAGGGGAGAACACUUGGAAACAGGUGCUAACCCGAUAUUGAUGGAUAGACCCGCGGUGCAUUAGCCAGUUGGUGAAGUAACGGCCCACCAAGGCCACGAUGAAUAGCCGACCUGAGAGGGUGAUCGGCCACACUGGGACUGAGACACGGCCCAGACUCCUACGGGAGGCAGCAGUAGGGAAUCUUCGGCAAUGGGCGAAAGUCUGACCGAGCAACGCCGCGUGAGUGAAGAAGGUUUUCGGAUCGUAAAGCUCUGUUGUUAAAGAAGCGGUAUCUAACCAGAAAGCCACGGCUAACUACGUGCCAGCAGCCGCGGUAAUAC